GACGAACGCUGGCGGCGUGCUUAACACAUGCAAGUCGAACGGAAAGGCCCUUCGGGGUACUCGAGUGGCGAACGGGUGAGUAACACGUGGGUGAUCUGCCCUGCACUUUGGAUAAGCCUGGGAAACUGGGUCUAAUACCGAAUAGGACCACGCGCUUCAUGGUGUGUGGUGGAAAGCUUUUGCGGUGUGGGAUGGGCCCGCGGCCUAUCAGCUUGUUGGUGGGGUAAUGGCCUACCAAGGCGACGACGGGUAGCCGGCCUGAGAGGGUGACCGGCCACACUGGGACUGAGAUACGGCCCAGACUCCUACGGGAGGCAGCAGUGGGGAAUAUUGCACAAUGGGCGCAAGCCUGAUGCAGCGACGCCGCGUGAGGGAUGACGGCCUUCGGGUUGUAAACCUCUUUCACCAGGGACGAAGCGUAAGUGACGGUACCUGGAGAAGAAGCACCGGCCAACUACGUG
rnacentral:rRNA from 1 species